rnacentral:rRNA from 1 species
GAUGAACGCUGGCGGCGUGCCUAAUACAUGCAAGUCGAGCGAACGGACGAGAAGCUUGCUUCUCUGAUGUUAGCGGCGGACGGGUGAGUAACACGUGGAUAACCUACCUAUAAGACUGGGAUAACUUCGGGAAACCGGAGCUAAUACCGGAUAAUAUUUUGAACAGCAUGGUUCAAAAGUGAAAGACGGUCUUGCUGUCACUUAUAGAUGGAUCCGCGCUGCAUUAGCUAGUUGGUAAGGUAACGGCUUACCAAGGCAACGAUGCAUAGCCGACCUGAGAGGGUGAUCGGCCACACUGGAACUGAGACACGGUCCAGACGCCUACGGGAGGCAGCAGUAGGGAAUCUUCCGCAAUGGGCGAAAGCCUGACGGAGCAACGCCGCGUGAGUGAUGAAGGUCUUCGGAUCGUAAAACUCUGUUAUUAGGGAAGAACAUAUGUGUAAGUAACUGUGCACAUCUUGACGGUACCUAAUCAGAAAGCCACGGCUAACUACGUG